GUGGGGAAUAUUGGACAAUGGGCGAAAGCCUGAUCCAGCCAUGCCGCAUGAGUGAAGAAGGCCUUUGGGUUGUAAAGCUCUUUUAGUGAGGGAGAUAAUGACGGUACUCACAGAAGAAGUCCUGGCUAACUCCGUGCCAGCAGCCGCGGUAAUACGGAGAGGGCUAGCGUUAUUCGGAAUUAUUGGGCGUAAAGGGCGCGUAGGCUGGUUAAUAAGUUAAAAGUGAAAUCCCGAGGCUUAACCUUGGAAUUGCUUUUAAAACUAUUAAUCUAGAGAUUGAAAGAGGAUAGAGGAAUUCCUGAUGUAGAGGUAAAAUUCGUAAAUAUUAGGAGGAACACCAGUGGCGAAGGCGUCUAUCUGGUUCAAAUCUGACGCUGAGGCGCGAAGGCGUGGGGAGCAAACAGG
rnacentral:rRNA from 1 species